AAAAAUGCGUGUGCCGCGCU
rnacentral:misc_RNA from 1 species